GUUUCAUACAAUAUUGCUGGUUCAGCCAGGCAAUAGACCCGAAACACGGACAUAUUCUGAUUAUGAAACCGUUAAUGAAUGUAUGGAAGAACUUCACUGUAAAAGUUGAAAUUGCCGAUGACGUCAAGGAAUGUUUGCAGUGUUAAGGGUUGACACAUUUACGUUAUUAUUAAAAAUUUAUUAUAUAUCAUAGAAAUCAUGCAUACUUACAGUGACUAUUUCUUAAAAUUGUUACGUUGAUUUUCGUAAUGGAUUUGUGAAAUUAUAUUCAAUUGUUCUUUUAACAUA